AAUUUAUUUAAUUAGUAUUAGUAUUCAUUUUCUAAACUAAUUAUUCAUUUUAUUAGUAUACAAAUAUAUGUAUAUAUAAAACUGUAAGGGCAGUAUAAUUUCAUAAAGUCAGCUAUCAUUGGUGUACCUUUUGUAUCAGGGUAUAAGGAAUAAGAUAUUUAUUUAAUAUUCCCGAAAGAGGAAGGUUGUUGAUAUAGUUUAAAUUUAUGUUUAAUUAUGAUUUUGUACUAUAUCAAGGAUUCUAGAAGUAAUUCGUUUACUCCUAUAUCUGGUUUUCUGAUUAUCAGUUUAAUUGAUAAUUUUAUAGUAAAGUUUAUUAUAGAAUUUUAUCUAUUUGGGGACAAGCUCAAAUAUUUUAACUAUUUAUAUUCAUAUAACGUACAUGAAAUAGUUUAUUGAUUAUUGAAUUUAUAAUAUAGUUUUAAUAGUAGGAAAAAUUAUAUCAACUUAAUCUAUAAUAAUAAUAUCUUAUAAUUAGUAAUUAUGACAAAUAGGUUUAAGGAAUUAGGCAAAAUAAAGGUUCACCUGUUUAAUAAAAACAUGUCUUCUUGAAAAUAGUAAGAAGUCGGCCCUGCUCAAUGCAAUAAUUGUUAAUAGCUGCAGUAUCUUAACUGUACUAAGGUAGCAUAAUAGCUUGUCCUUUAAUUGGGGAAUUGAAUGAAUGGGUUGAUGAGACUUUAACUGUCUCAUUUCUAUUAUAAUAAUUUGAAUAGUGAGUAAAAAUGCUUACAUAAUAUAAGGGGACGAGAAGACCCUAUAGAUCUUAAUAAGUUUAACUGGUAUUAAGUUAACUAAAUUUUCCUGGGGUGGGACUAUAAUUUAACUUAGGUUAAAUAAAGUUUAAUUUAACGAUUGAUGGUAAUUUAUUAAGUAGAUAAGAUAAGUUACCUUAGGGAUAACAGGAUAAUUUUAUUAGUUAGACCUUAUAAUUAAUAAGGAUUAUUACCUCGAUGUUGAAUUAAGAUGUUAUUCGGGAGUAGUAAAUCGAAUGGUUAGUCUGUUCGACUAUUGAAAUCUUACAUGAUUUGAGUUUAGACCGACGUGAGUCAGGUCGGAUUCUAUCUUUUAUAAAUUCUAUUUGUUGUGUACGAAAGGAAAUACAAGUAGAAUACUAAUUUU
rnacentral:rRNA from 1 species